GCUUCGCUCGGGUCCGCACCUGCAGGCCGGGCCCUGUGUGCAGCUCCGCCGCCUGACUCAGUGCAACCGCAGCUGCCUGUGGCUCCUGCGUGCUCCAGACCCCCGGCUGUACGGGAGCCUGGAGGAGAUGCUCAGCUUCCCGGCCUCUCCACUCAGGAAGGUGCAGCAGAAGGAGCAGCUAUGGUUGAAGGCCGAGCAAGUCAUUUCUCACCCAGAUUGGGGCUGGGGAUCAAACCCUGGGCUCAGCCUGCCCCAGGCUCCCUUCAGGGCAUGAUAUUAAUGGAAAACUAGUCCCUCCGUGGCCCAGCAGGUGCCCAGCAGGUGCCCAGCAGGUGCCCAGCAGGUAGCCAAGACCAGGUGGGCAGGGCUCUGGGCAGCUUGUUAGGUUGCCCAGUACGGACUCUCGAGUACCGACCUCGGUCCGCUUUGGUGAAUGGAGAAGGCGGCUUCACUUACACAGCAUCUUUUACGUUCCAGGCAAUUUAUGUGCUCCGAAUCCUCAUAACCUGGAUUUUGCUGCUGAAGAAACCAGACCCAGAGAGGUCGAGGAAGCUACCUGAGGUCACACAGCUAGAAAAAUACGUCUUCACUAUGACAAAAAACAGCUGCCAUGUGUGAUGGUAGGUGGCGUGUCCGUGGCAAAUGGCGAGCCUGGAGACCAGUGACAGUAGCAGGGCAGUUGUGGAGCGGCUCCAGCUGAUUGUGUGCCCCUGUGGGCUCAGUGUCGCCAUAUCCUCUGCUUUUUUGGGGGAGAGAAGUUGAAAAUGUGAAUUUUGAGUUAAAUCUCUCAAGCUUUAAAUAGUUGGAUCAACGUUUGAAAGCCUAAUGUGAUGAGCAGUGAAACAUCUCUGGGGGCCAGAUCUGGGCUGUGAGCCACCAGUUGGCAGCCUUGGGCCGAAGAGCAAUGAUUUAGCAAAGAUGCUGGGUUGGGGUCUGAGCUCGGCCACAUUCCGGUUGCCAGGUCAGAGGCAAACCACAACACCUCUGUGGGCCUCGGUUUCCCCCUCUGUAACGUGGGGCUUGUGAAAACCACAGUUCAUUGGAUGAUGUGUAUUGAUUAAAAGCACAACAGAACGGGAUGGAGGAUAACAGGACACAUCAGGGGUAGGCAUCGCUUAGUGAAGCCCAUUUUAGACACACAGUGUGGACACAUUCGUACUUACGUGCACAUACAUAGAUGUAUGCUCUCCUUGGUUUGAUGUAAUACGCGCCCCUCACUGUGGAGCACAGUCAGAAAAGUCUAAAAGCCACUGUGCUAAGUCCUGGUCACGUCUGCACGCAUUCAGUGCUGUCUGCAACCUGUGAGGUCGGUUCUAUUGUCACCCCCAUUUUACAGCUGAAAAGUGAAGUUCAGAGGGAUGAAGCUCCCACAGGUAGGAACAGGAAGAGCUGGGAUUUAACCCAAGGCCGAGAUCCUUCCCCUCCAGCAGGGCCACGGGUGCUUGGGGGAUGGAAUGAGCUAACGCAGGUCAAGGCCUUAGCCCAGUGCUGGGGACACAGCAGGUACUUAGUGUGAGAGGCAGGGCUCGCGUCUGCAGCUUCUCCUUCAGCCACACCAGGUGGCCAGCAGGAUCCAAGGGCCAGAUGGAAGAGGCCGCGACUCUGCCAACACCGCUACCCGUGGAGGGGGCGGCGUCUGCAAGGGCAUCUCACCCACAGCCAGAGUUUACCAACUACUCAUUUUGUGCCGGAUACUUCAUGCUGAAUUUUAUGAUCGGUAUUUGGCUGGAGUCAGCUUAUCACUAUCCCUGCAUGAACUUCAGGAUAUAAAAAUAAAUCCCGAUGGUUUUUCAGACUGUGGUUACAUGCACAUUAUUAGAGCAGCUUGUUCUUUCAACUCCCAGGGCUGUGGUUGCAGAUUGCUCUUCAGGCCACCAUAGUGUCCACUUGCCUCUACACUGGGAUCCCCACUGCGGCCACCGUGGGUCAGCUUAUCGACUCUUAGGCCUGAACAUGUUGAUGGCGCUGCCAUUGGGUCAAAGAAAUCCCGGAAGCAUGGGGAUGGCCUGAUGGCAAUACUUUCUGGAUCCUUUCAAGGGUGGCCCUGCAUGGUUUCCAGGCCGGACUUCGGGUGGCACCUGCCUGCGGGUGGGCCCAGCUGUGGGGUCGCACUGCCCUCUGGUGGUCACCGGUGGGCAUAGCUCUGCCAGCACUGAGUGGGCAUGAAUGGGGCGGAGAGUGGGCUGGGAGGACGCAUCAGGGAUCAGGAUAGGGGUGGAAUGUGAGUAGAGGCUGGGAAAGGCCUCCAGGAGCCUUUUUGGGGUCCUGGAAGCCUCUUCCAUCUUGAUCUGGACUGUGGUUACCCAAAUAUAAUCCUGUGUAAAAAUACAUCAAGGUGCAUGCUUGAGCUCUGGGCGCAAACUGUAUGAUUAUAACAUGAAAUUUAAACCUCUCCUUUAA